AAUACUGCACUGUUUUCAGAUUUGAGAUGAUUGAUGCUGCCAGGAACAGAGUGCGUGUGAAGGCCUGCUAUGUGAUGAUGGCACUGACCAUCAUAGCGUGCGUUGCUACGGCUGUCUCUGGGAAACGGGCGGCAGGUCGGCAUGAAAAUCUGACCUCUCGUAACAUGGAGAAAAAGGCUCAAUGGAGAGAGGAAGCACAGA